GGACUACCGGGGUUUCUAAUCCUGUUCGCUCCCCACGCUUUCGCGUCUCAGCGUCAGUACCGUACUAGAGAGCCGCCUUAGCCACGGGUGUUCUUCCUGAUAUCUGCGCAUUUCACCGCUACACCAGGAAUUCCACUCUCCUCUUCCGGACUCUAGCCAAACGGUUUCCACCGGCGUCUCGAGGUUGAGCCUCGAGUUUUCACAGCAGACCUGUCUGGCCGCCUACACGCUCUUUACGCCCAAUAAAUCCGGACAACGCUUGCCCCCUACGUAUUACCGCGGCUGCUGGCAC
rnacentral:rRNA from 1 species